GGCAGUCCUCCGGUGACACACCCCAGAAUCAGGUUCCCUCCUCUCUGAUUCCGGGGUGCAUCACCUGCUGCU
rfam:Myotis davidii contig187102, whole genome shotgun sequence.